AUUGAACGCUGGCGGCAGGCUUAACACAUGCAAGUCGAGCGGGGGAAGGUAGCUUGCUACCGGACCUAGCGGCGGACGGGUGAGUAAUGCUUAGGAAUCUGCCUAUUAGUGGGGGACAACAUCUCGAAAGGGAUGCUAAUACCGCAUACGUCCUACGGGAGAAAGCAGGGGAUCUUCGGACCUUGCGCUAAUAGAUGAGCCUAAGUCGGAUUAGCUAGUUGGUGGGGUAAAGGCCUACCAAGGCGACGAUCUGUAGCGGGUCUGAGAGGAUGAUCCGCCACACUGGGACUGAGAGACGGCCCAGGCUCCUACGGGAGGCAGCAGUGGGGAAUAUUGGACAAUGGGGGGAACCCUGAUCCAGCCAUGCCGCGUGUGUGAAGAAGGCCUUAUGGUUGUAAAGCACUUUAAGCGAGGAGGAGGCUACUCUAGUUAAUACCUAGGGAUAGUGGACGUUACUCGCAGAAUAAGCACCGGCUAACUCUGUGCCAGCAGCCGCCGUAA
rnacentral:rRNA from 1 species